UUUUUUUAUUUCGAAACAAAAAUUUAAAAAUAGAGCCCAACAAACGGUGGAAAACCCUAAAUAGACCAGAAAAAUCCAUAUUUCGCCUCCUCCUCCUUCAUCCUAAAAUUCCCUCUCUAUUUCUUUCUUCCCACUUCUCCAAUUUCUUUCGUUCUUUACCUGUCAAUGUUUACUUCCACUCCCUUCAACCAUUCCCAACCCAGCUCCUAACUUCCCCGCUCUGCAGUUCCUUGAACUGUCUUUACCGGCCGUGGGAAGGAUAAUGCUUGUUGCCGCUGGUGCGGGAGAUGAAAGUGGCGGUGCUAAGGCGCCCGCCAAAGAGCCCGGCCCUCUGUUCUUCUCCGCCAGCUCCUAACUUCCCCGCUCUGCAGUUCCUUGAACUGUCUUUACCGGCCGUGGGAAGGAUAAUGCUUGUUGCCGCUGGUGCGGGAGAUGAAAGUGGCGUUGCAACGGAGCCCUUCAAGGAGCCCGCUCCUUUGUUCUUCCUCUCUUCUUAAACCAACUUUCUCCCUUCUCUCUGUCUCCUCUUUCCUUUUAGGUUCUUCUUCUUUUAAACCCUCUGCUUCUCUUCUCCCUCUCCCAAUGC
rnacentral:lncRNA from 1 species